UACAUGGGGUCCGCGAUUGCCCCGUGAGGCUAAGGCCCGAGGAUCGCAUCCUGUUACGGAAACAAAGGAUGCCCUAUG
rfam:Oceanibulbus indolifex HEL-45 1103467007069, whole genome shotgun sequence.